CCUACGGGAGGCAGCAGUGGGGAAUAUUGGGCAAUGGGCGCAAGCCUGACCGAGCAACGCCGCGUGAAGGAAGAAGGCUUUCGGGUUGUAAACUUCUUUUGACAGGGAAGAGCAAGAGACGGUACCUGUCGAAUAAGCCACGGCGAACUACGUGCCAGCAGCCGCGGUAAUACGGAGGUGGCAAGCGGUGUCCGGAUUUACUGGGUGUAAAGGGCGUGUAGGCGGGUUGACAAGUCCGAUGUUAAAUCCGGGGGCUCAACCCACGAAGUGCAUUUGAAACUGUUGGACUUGAGUAUCGGAGAGGCAGGCGGAAUUCCUAGUGUAGCGGUGAAAUGCGUAGAUAUUAGGAGGAACACCAGUGGCGAAGGCGGCCUGCUGGACGACAACUGACGGUGAGGCGCGAAAGCGUGGGGAGCAAACAGGAUUAGAUACCCGGGUAGUC
rnacentral:rRNA from 1 species